rnacentral:rRNA from 1 species
CCUACGGGUGGCAGCAGUGGGGAAUAUUGCGCAAUGGGCGAAAGCCUGACGCAGCGACGCCGCGUGAGGGAUGAAGGUCUUCGGAUCGUAAACCUCUGUCAGCAGGGAAGAACGGUCACUGUGCUAAUCAGCAGUGCAUUGACGGUACCUGCAAAGGAAGCACCGGCUAACUCCGUGCCAGCAGCCGCGGUAAUACGGAGGGUGCGAGCGUUAAUCGGAAUUACUGGGCGUAAAGCGCUCGUAGGCGGUAUGUCAAGUCACGGGUGAAAUCCCCGCGCUCAACGGGGGAACUGCCUUUGAAACUGGCAAACUGGAGUGUAGGAGAGGAUAGUGGAAUUCCAGGGGUAGGAGUGAAAUCCGUAGAUAUCUGGAGGAACAUCAGUGGCGAAGGCGACUAUCUGGCACAUAACUGACGCUGAGGAGCGAAAGCGUGGGUAGCAAACAGGAUUAGAUACCCCAGUAGUC